rnacentral:rRNA from 1 species
UACGAAGGGGGCUAGCGUUGCUCGGAAUCACUGGGCGUAAAGCGCACGUAGGCGGCUUUGUAAGUAAGAGGUGAAAGCCCAGAGCUCAACUCUGGAAUUGCCUUUUAGACUGCAUCGCUUGAAUCAUGGAGAGGUCAGUGGAAUUCCGAGUGUAGAGGUGAAAUUCGUAGAUAUUCGGAAGAACACCAGUGGCGAAGGCGGCUGACUGGACAUGUAUUGACGCUGAGGUGCGAAAGCGUGGGGAGCAAACAGG